rnacentral:misc_RNA from 1 species
UUAUAACAAAAAAAUAUAUUUUUAUAUUUUUAUAUUAAAAUAAAAAUUGAUGCAGAGAUCGGGCAUGUUGGGGAGGCUUAAUCCUGUUUCUGCCACAUUACCAUUCACUGUGUGGGGAUGGGUUCCAUGUUGGAGCAGAUUGGGUUUUGCCAUCCCUACAUGUUUCUACUAGGCUCCUUGAUCUUUUUGCUAUCCAAAACUUCUUAUUUUGAAAAAAAUUCUCUGCUGGAGUUCUUCCAAUUGAUUUAAAUUCUUGCCAUUUGUUGCAAUCAUAUUCUCGUUCGAGUUACUUACCUUUGUUAUUGUUUUGUAAGAUAUUAUUUGUUUCUAUUUUCAAGGUCAUCAAGUUACCUGAAAUUGUACUGAGCUUUUUUGGUUUCAUCUGUGACCUUUCUUUAUUUGGCAGGUUGCUGGACUGAUUCUGGAAA